rnacentral:lncRNA from 1 species
CUGCAAACCAGGAAUUAAAAUUGUCAGGUAAUUAGCACCUGGCUGCUACAGGGAUGCUUCUCCUUGCGAUGCCAUGGGGACAAUGGCCAGAAGCAGGUGCUCGGGCUCGUGGCUGCAUCGCCCGCAUCCUGCACCGCCGGCCCCGCAGCCACCGAGCUUGUGCCACCCUGACACCCCCAGCCCCAGCUCAAAGCUAUUCCAUGGCCAAGCCCUGGGUGCUGCUGCGUCCCUGCUGCUCCCCCAUCCAGCUCCUGUCCCCCCCUUGUGUCCCCAGCAAGGACGGGGCAGUCCCUGCUGUGCCAGCCUCCGUGCCACCCCACGGCACCCGCUGGCAGCAGCUUCCAGCUGGGGCUGCAGGAGGAAAGGGCUUGAUGCUGGUACCAGGCAGGGCAAAGCCUUGCACCAGGGACAGCGUGAUGCUGCUGUGCAAGCUGCAGCUGCAGGCAGGGUGCUGCAGCGGGCUGGGGCUCCUCCUGCACCCACACCCCCGGCUGGGCACAUCCUGCACCCCCAGAUUUGGCUGGGCAUCUCCUGUGUGUACCUGCAAACCCCAAACCGGGCACCUCCUGCACCCCCAGACCCAGCUGGUUGCAUCCUGCACCCCAGACCCAGCUGGGCACCUCCUGCACCCCCAGACCCAGCUGGGCAUCUCCUGUACCUGCAAACCCCAAACCAGGCUCCUCCUGCACCCCCAGACCCAGCUGGUUGCAUCCUGCACCCCAGACCCAGCUGGGCACCUCCUGCACCCCCAGAUCUGGCUGGGCAUCUCCUGUGUGUACCUGCAAGCCCCAAACUGGGCACCUCCUGCACCCCCAGACCCAUCUGGUUGCAUCCUGCACCCCCAGACGCAGCAGGGCACAUUCUGCACCCCCAGACCCAGCUGAGGUGGGAUGUGGGAUGCUCAGACCAGACCAUUGGCACGGCGAUGCUCAGACCUUUGGCAUGGCAAUGCUUGGCCCAUCAGCACAGCAAUUCUUGUCCCAUCAGCAGGGCGAUGCUGCGCCCAUCAGCACGGUGUCUGGCUCUGCUCGGUUCCCCCCCGUGCCCGCGGGGCCCCACCAAGCUCGUGUCCCCCCCCCGGAGCCGGUGUCGAUGGCGGCGGUCUAUCGGCGGGUUUCCAAGGUCAGCUGCAGUCAGUGUGAAUUAAAUCACUCCGGCAGCUCUCCUCCCUGGAGGAGAUCCAGCCCCGGGAAGAACGGCACUACAGAGACCGCGCGGCGCGGCUCAAUGUCACCCACCCCUGUCCCCUGCCACCACCGGGGGCUGCGGCCACCCCAACGGCGAGACCCCCGCCCAUCCCGGCACCACGGUGAGGGGAGAGGGUGGCUGAGCGGACCCCAGCCCUAAAACUCGCCACCAACUUGUGUGGGAGGGUGUCCAGGGAGGGCUCAAACCCACAGCAAGAGGAGCAGAGGUGCCCGGGGUGCCAAGCACCGUGUCCCCUGCAUGCCACCACUGCCACGUGGGACCCAGCACGGGGUCCCUGUGAUGUGCGUGCGUUUUGGGCCCACCCCUGCCAUGUGCACCCCCUGCUGUGCCCCAAGUGCCCACACGUGG